CACCAAGCAGUCCUGGAUAGUGACAUAGUUAAACUGAAAUCUCAGUGUAUUGUAUUGAGGAGUAUUGGAUCUCAAAUAAACCACAUAAACUUGAGGCAUGAGUAUGCAAGAACUCGCUGGCCCAGGAAAAAUUAUCCUCCAAGGAUGCAGUGGCCAACGAAGAAGUCCAGACGAAGUUUGGAAAAAAGUGUGUGGCGAAGGGGGAGGUGAUUUUGUUCCUGGGCCAGAUAUACCACGACAAAUGCUUCACGUGUGCUCGCUGCAGGGCCAUCACAAAGUGCACCCAGAAUAACCGCAUAAGUCUGCAGCUGAGGGCCCCCCACGGGGCUCCUUAACCAAGGGGGCCCCUAAUGGCCGCAAUAAAAACAUGUAUAUGGGGGCCCAUCAUACAAGCUGCAUGCUUGAGCUGGUCAGCGCACCCGGGAUAGCUGUCCAUGAAGUCUGCAGCUGAGGGCCCCCCACGGGGCUCCUUAACCAAGGGGGCCCCCUAAUGGCCACAGAAAAAAAUGGAAUAAUCAGGGGGCCUGCCAUAACAGCUGCAUGCUUGAUCCACGCUGAGAUGACUUCAAACCAUCCAAGUGUUCUUCACUCCUCGAGUUCCUUUACGUCUGUAGAUCGAAGAUCGUGCAGGUGUUGCCCACUCCCGCCGCCACCGGCAGAAAAUACCUGCGGACGAGGUGGCGAUACUGGCGGGACAAAACCCCAAGAUACUUGUGUAUACGGAUGUUUCGACAAUGACAAACCAAAAUGGGCAAGGAGCUUGUUCAUAACCAUUGGGCCCACGCAAAGUCAUUGGGUCGGAGAGAUUAUAAGUCUAACCUACAGCUUCAGCAUUGGAUUUGUGCAUUAGAUCACCUAGACCAUAGUUAUAUCCUAUAAAUGCAUAGUAUAAAUCCAUUUAACUUUAUCUGUUUAAAGCCAUUGUUAGAAAUAACAUUAAAAAAAUCUACAAACAAAAAAAAGUGCCACUAAACAAACAUUCUCCGUUGUGUUGGCAUUGCGAAUGGUAGCAGUGACGUAUGCAAGUUUUAGAUUCAAAGAACUUUCUUUUAAAGAGCAUUUAACUGUGUACCGCACUAAAAAAAAUCAGAAAGUACAAUCAAAUGCAGGUCAUCCAAGUAACAGAAGGGGGUGGCAACAUUCAUAACACAGAAAUGAGGCAAGGUUUC